UACGGAGGGUGCAAACGUUGCUCGGAAUCAUUGGGCGUAAAGCGCACGUAGGCGGCGCGUUAAGUCGGGUGUGAAAGCCCCUGGCUCAACUGGGGAAGUGCACCCGAAACUGAGUGGCUUGAGUACUAAAGAGGGUCGCGGAAUUCCCGGUGUAGAGGUGAAAUUCGUAGAUAUCGGGAGGAACACCGGUGGCGAAGGCGGCGACCUGGGUAGAUACUGACGCUGAGGCGCGAAAGCGUGGGGAGCAAACAGG
rnacentral:rRNA from 1 species